AUUGAACGCUGGCGGCAGGCCUAACACAUGCAAGUCGAGCGGAUGAAGAGAGCUUGCUCUCUGAUUUAGCGGCGGACGGGUGAGUAAUGCCUAGGAAUCUGCCUGGUAGUGGGGGAUAACGUUCCGAAAGGAACGCUAAUACCGCAUACGUCCUACGGGAGAAAGUGGGGGAUCUUCGGACCUCACGCUAUCAGAUGAGCCUGGGUCGGGUUAGCUAGUUGGUGAGGUAAUGGCUCACCAAGGCGACGAUCCGUAACUGGUCGGAGAGGAUGAUCAGGCACACUGGAACUGAGACACGGUCCAGACGCCUACGGGAGGCAGCAGUGGGGAAUAUUGGGCAAUGGGCGAAAGCCUGAUCCAGCCAUGCCGCGUGGGUGAGGAAGGUCUUCGGAUUGUAAAGCACUUUAAGUUGGGAGGAAGGGUUGUAGAUUAAUACUCUGCAAUUUUGACGUUACCGACAGAAUAAGCACCGGCUAACUUCGUGCCAGCCGCCGCCGUAA
rnacentral:rRNA from 1 species